AUGUGGUUUGUGCAUAAGGGUGUAAUUCUAAUUAAAGAUAACUUAGCUAAGCGUAAGUGGGAAGGAAGUAAAAGAUGUUGCUUUUGUGAUCAGGAUGAAACAAUAGAACAUCUAUUUAUCACAUGUCCGCUUGCUAAAUUACUUUGGAGAACUAUUCACGUUACGUUUAACAUCAUUCAGCCUCUCACGAUAUCACAUUUGUUUGAUAACUAG
rnacentral:rRNA from 1 species